rnacentral:rRNA from 1 species
CUACGGGAGGCUCCAGUGAGGAAUAUUGCACAAUGGGGGGAACCCUGAUGCAGCAACGCCGCGUGGAGGAUGACGCAUUUCGGUGUGUAAACUCCUUUUAUAUGUCAAGAAAAUGACGGUAGCAUAUGAAUAAGCACCGGCUAACUCCGUGCCAGCAGCCGCGGUAAUACGGAGGGUGCAAGCGUUACUCGGAAUCACUGGGCGUAAAGGACGCGUAGGCGGGUUGGAAAGUCAGGUGUGAAAUCCUACAGCUUAACUGUAGAACUGCACUUGAAACUUCUAAUCUAGAGCAUGGGAGGGGGAGAUGGAAUUAGUGGUGUAGGGGUAAAAUCCGUAGAUAUCGCUAGGAAUACCUAAAGCGAAGGCGAUCUCCUGGAACAUUACUGACGCUAAGGCGUGAAAGCGUGGGGAGCAAACAGGAUUAGAUACCCCAGUAGUC